GACCUUCCCCGAAUAGAGGAGGACCGGUCUUCGGUCAAGGGUAUACGAGUAGCUGCGCUCCCCUGCUAGAACCUCCAAACAAGCUCUCAAGACUAGAUUUCUAAGAGAUAAUAAUAAAACAUAAGAAAAAAUAAAAACUGUCAUAGCAAAGUUGGAUAAU
rnacentral:snRNA from 1 species